rnacentral:misc_RNA from 1 species
UUAAGUUCAGCGGGUAGCCCUACCUGAUCCGAGGUCAACCUGAGAAGAUGGGGUUGCCGCGGCAGCACGCCUGGGUCUCCAGAAGCGAGAUGUGUUACUACGCUUGAAGCCAGAUGGCACCGCCACUGAUUUUGAGGCCCGCUGGGAGACCAGCGCAGGCCCAAUACCAAGCCGAGCUUGAAGGUUGAAAUGACGCUCGA